rnacentral:rRNA from 1 species
GGAAAGGUAAGCCGGAGAGGGUGACAGCCCCGUACGAGUAGAAAAGCUGACUGUUCUUGAGUAAGGCGGAGCACGAGAAAUUCUGUCUGAAAAUGGGGAGACCACUCUCCAAGGCUAAGUACUACUGAUUGACCGAUAGUGAACAAGUACCGUGAGGGAAAGGUGAAAAGCACCCCUAUAAGGGGAGUGAAAGAGAACCUGAAACCGGAUGCCUACAAGCAGUCGGAGGGUCAUAAGGCCUGACGGCGUACCUUUUGUAUAAUGGGUCAGCGACUUAAUUUAUGUAGCAAGCUUAAGCCGAUAGGUGUAGGCGUAGAGAAAUCGAGUGUUAACAGCGCGUUAAGUUACAUGAAUUAGACCCGAAACCGAGUGAUCUAGCCAUGAUCAGGUUGAAGGUUGGGUAACACCAACUGGAGGACCGAACCCACUCCCGUUGAAAAGGUAGGGGAUGAAUUGUGGCUAGGGGUGAAAGGCCAAUCAAACUCGGAAAUAGCUGGUUCUCCGCGAAAACUAUUUAGGUAGUGCGGUGAGCGGACACCUUGAGGGGUAGAGCACUGGAAGAGCUAAGGGGGAGCGAUCCUUACUAAACUUUACCAAACUCCGAAUACUCAAGAGUGAUACUCACCAGACAGACAUUAGGUGCUAAGGUCUAGUGUCGAGAGGGAAAGAGCCCAGACCGCCAAUUAAGGUCCCAAAAUUAUGGCUAAGUGGUAAAGGAAGUGAAACGUCCAAAACAGUCAGGAGGUUGGCUUAGAAGCAGCCAUCCUUUAAAGAAAGCGUAAUAGCUCACUGAUCUAAACAAGACGUCUUGCGCCGAAGAUGUAACGGGGCUAAAGCCAUAUACCGAAGUUGCGGAUUUACACGUUAAAGUGUAAGUGGUAGCGGAGCGUUCUGUAAGCCUGCGAAGGUGUACCGUAAGGUAUGCUGGAGGUAUCAGAAGUGAGAAUGCUGACAUGAGUAGCGAAAAGAAGAGUGAGAGACUCUUCCGCUGAAAGUCCAAGGUUUCCUGCGUAAAGCUAAUCUGCGCAGGGUUAGUCGGUCCCUAAGGCGAGGCAGAGAUGCGUAGUCGAUGGCAAUCAGGUUAAUAUUCCUGAACCGGCCCGGAAGUGACGGAUUGAGUAAAUUGUAAGUUCUUAUUGGAUUGAGCUUGCAGUGAAUCAGUCCCAGGAAAUAGCCCGGGCUAAGACCGUACCCGAAACCGACACAGGUGGACAGGUAGAGAAUACCAAAGCGCUUGAGAGAACUAUGUUGAAGGAACUAGGCAAAAUACUUGCGUAACUUCGGGAUAAGCAAGCCCCAUUUUAAGGCAACUUAGGGUGGGGGGCACAUACUAGGGGGUAGCGACUGUUUACUAAAAACACAGGGCUCUGCUAAAUUGAAAGAUGAAGUAUAGGGUCUGACGCCUGCCCGGUGCUGGAAGGUUAAGGAGAGAUGUGCAAGCAUUGAACUGAAGCCCCAGUAAACGGCGGCCGUAACUAUAACGGUCCUAAGGUAGCGAAAUUCCUUGUCGGGUAAGUUCCGACCUGCACGAAUGGCGUAACGACUUCCCCGCUGUCUCCAACAUAGGCUCAGCGAAAUUGAACUCUGAGUUAAGAUGCUCAGUACCCGCGGUUAGACGGAGAGACCCCGUGAACCUUUACUAUAGCUUUGCAGUGGUAUUAGGUAACAAAUGUGUAGAAUAGGUGGGAUGCUAUGAAGCUACGACGCCAGUUGUAGUGGAGCAGACUUUGAAAUACCACCCUUUUGUUGUUUGAUAUCUAACCUGCUCCCGUUAUCCGGGAGAGGGACCCUGCAUGGUGGGUAGUUUGACUGGGGCGGUCGCCUCCCAAAGAGUAACGGAGGCGCGCAAAGGUUGGCUCAGAUUGGUCAGAAAUCAAUCGUCGAGUGCAAUGGCAUAAGCCAGCCUGACUGCGAGAGAGACAUUUCGAGCAGAUACGAAAGUAGGUCAUAGUGAUCCGGUGGUCCCGAGUGGAAGGG